rnacentral:lncRNA from 10 species
AAUGCAGUCUGUCCAUGGACCUUCGCAGAGACUCUCAGCACCUCCCGCCUCUCAGCAGAAAUGCCCAACAGAAUGGUCAGGACCAGCGAGCAUGUGCACCUUAGCUGGUCCCGAGCAACAGGCCCGAGGUGGAGAAACCGCCCUAGCAGCUCUCUCGUGGCACCCAGUGCAGGCGGCGAUUGCUGCUCAGGUGCCUCGGGCUGGCGGGGCUCCCUGGAGCAUGAGGCACACCCUGCCCCAGGGCCUGUUUGACUGUCGCCCACGUGCUCUUCUCCUCUUCCACUGGCUCCCGAUGCUCGGAGCCCCCCACGCUGGGCCCUCUGCAGCCCAGGGAUGGGAUUGAGUGGUGCUUCUCCGCCUGGUGCUGCCACUGGGACCACAGCCCUACUUCGUCACUGCGUCACCCCUGGGGUCUGCGCUGAUGGGCGUGAGGUGGGAGGAUGGGAUCUGGGGUUGCCACCGCUGCAGCCAGCGCACCACUUGCAGGUGGCAGCUUCAGCUUGAGCUCUGGCAGAGGCUGGCGGGGUUCCCCUGGGAUGGCCUCCUGGGCCCUGAGUGCACCACCCAUCUGGCCAGAGGGUGCAUGCCUCCUGCACCCCGGGCCAAAACCCAUGUCCGGCGCUCCUGCCGCAGACUACCUGACUUGCCGCGGCUGGGCUGGCCCCCGGGGUCUGCGCGGCUGGAGGCGCUAGCCUGGUCGGGGAUUCCCAAUCCUCAGUGACCCCUGCUCCAUGUGCUGGUGGCAGCUGCAGCUGCAGUGCCCGUGGGCUGACGUGGCUUCCCGGAGCUGCAGUGGCUUCCCGGAGCUGCGGCUGGCCAUGCCCAAGGGCCCCACAGGCUGUGCUGCCCUUGCCAGCUGCUCCUGACCCAUGCCCAGAGCGCAGGACCUGGCACUUGGCACCCUGCAGUCACGGGGUUGAGGCUGAGUGCCGGUUCUCGGCCUUGUGGUGCCGCUGGGGACACAGUCUGACUUCACCUCCCCGUCGCCCAAGUCUUGUGAUGGGCACGUGUGAGGACGGGCAAUCGGGGUUCCCAAGGCUGCUGCCUGCAUGCCACUCCGUGGCCACUAGGAUAGGGCUGAGGAGCCGCCAGGGGAUGAGCACAUCGUGGCCAUAGGGAUGGGGCUGAGAGUCUAUCUUUAUCGUUAUGCACCUGCCCAGCCGACUUCCUGACAGCCACUACUGCAGCAUCCUGUCAGGGAUUCCUUGCUGUUGACGUGGGGAUGGGGAGGGCAUGGAGAAUCAGGGAUGGUCUGGCCAUUGCUGCUGGUGCCUGAUGUGCGGGUGGCAGCUGCACCUAGGGCACGGGCUGGUAGGUCUUCUCUUUUGGAUAGUUUCCAGGUGGCCCAUUGCACUGUGACCAAGCCAGAGGGUCCACUCCACCUUAGCCCACACUAGGAGUCCAGGGGCUACAGUUGUGGGUACUGUGUGGCCAACCAGAAGGGGCUCAGCAGCCAGUUCAGCUUUCCUGCUUUUGCAGGGCUUUCUUAAAUUUUUUUUAUUUAACAUUUUCUAAAAAUAUAUACAAAAAGAAGCAUAUCAAACAUAUUAGGAAGGUUGCACACAGGAAGAUGGGGAAUAGAAAUGGGGGGUGGGAAUGAAAGAAAAUAAAUGAGAGAGGGACUUUGUAUUGAUCAAUGAUAAUAACUCAAUCCUCUAUGUCUUUGACAAGAAGGAGAAGGAAGAGGAAGAAAAAGAAAGUGGGAUAAAGGAUCAGAAAGGGAGGAAAAUAGAAAAAUUUAGAGUAUGACUCCAGGGUAGACCUGUUUUGUUGUUGCUGGGUUGGUUGAUUGGUUGUUUGGUUUGUUGUAAUUUUCAUAUGUUUUGCCAUGUUGACCAGGCUGGUCUCGAACCCCUAGCCCCAAGUGAUCAACCCACCUUGGCCUCCCAGAGUGUUGGGAUUACAGGCGUGAGCCACCACGUCCAGCCCCCACACUGCGUCUGGCCUCUGUGGUAGACCUCCCAGACAGGGUGGCCAGGCAGAGGCGCUCCUCACUUCCCAUAUGGGGCGGCCGGGCAGAGGCGCUCCUCACUUCUCAGACGGGGUGGCCAGGCAGAGGAGCUCCUCACUUCCCAGAUGGGGCGGCCGGGCAGAGGCGCUCCUCACAUCCCAGACAAUGGGCGUCCAGGCAGAGGCACUCCUCACGUCCCAGAUCCACAAAAGAAGUGAAAAUAGCCUUAACUGAUGACAUUCCACCAUUGUGUUUUGUUUCUGCUUCACACUAACUGAUGUAUUUUGUAAUCUCCCCCACCCUUAAGAAAGUUCUUUUUAAUCUCCCUCACCUUUGAGAAGGUUCUUUGUAAUUUGUAAUUCUCCCCACCCUUGAGAAUGUACUUUGUGAGAUCCAACUCCUGCCCGCAAAACAUUGCUCCUAACUCCACUGCCUAUUCCAAAACCUAUAAGAACUAAUGAUAAUCCAAUCACCUUUUGCUCUCUUUUUGGACUCAGCCCACCUGCACUCAGGUGAAAUAAACAGCCUUGUUGCUCACAAAAAAAAAAAAAAAUAGACAAAAGCAUUCUGACAAACUUCUUCAUGAUGCAUGCAUUCAUCUCACAGAAUUGAACCUUUCUUUUGAUUGAGCAGCUUUGAAACACACUUUUUGUAGAAUCUGCAAGUGUACAUUUCGAGUGCUUUGAGGCCUAUAGUAGAAAAGGACUUAUCUUCACAUAAAAACUGGACAGAAGCAUUCUGAAAAACUACUUUGUGAUGUCUGCAUUCAUCUCAAAGAGUUGAACCUUACUUUUGAUUGGUCAGUUUUGAAACACCAUUUUUGUAGAAUCUGCAAGUGUGCAUUUGGAGCGCUUUGAGGCAUAUGGUGGAAAAGGAAAUAUCUUCCCAACAAAACUAGACAGAAGCAUUAUGAGAAACUUCUUUGUGAUGUUUGCAUUCAUCUCACACAGAGUUGAACUGUUCUUUUAAUUGAGCAGCUUUGAAACCCUCUUUUUGUAGAAUCAGCAAGAGGACAUGUGGAGCCCUUUGAGGCCUAUGGUGGAAAAGGAAAUAUGUUCACAUAAAAACUAGACAGAAGCAUUCUUACAAACUUCUUUGAGAUGUGGUCAUUCAGCUCACAGUGUUGAACCUUUCUUUACAUUGAGCAGCUUUGAAACACUCUUUUUGUUGAAUCUGCAAGUGGACAUUUGGAGCACUUUCUGGCCUAUUGUGGAAAAGGACAUAUCAACAUAUAAAAACUAGACAGAAGCAUUCUGACAAACUUCUUCGUGAUGUGUGUAUUCAUCUCACAGAGUUGAAUCUUUCUUUUCAUUUAGCAGUUUUUAAACACUCUGUUUGUAGAAUCUACAAGUGGACAUUUGGAGCACUUUGAGGCCUAUGGUGGAAAAGGAAAUAUUUUCACAAAAAAACUAGACAGAAGCAUUCUGAUAAAUUUCAUUGUGAUGUGUGCAUUCAUGUCACAGAGAUGAACGUUUCUUUUGAUUGAGCAGCUUUGAAACAUUCUUUUUGUAGAAUCUACAACUGGACCUGUGGAGUGCUUUGGGGCCUAUCAUGGAAAAGGAAAUAUCUUCACAUAAAACCUAGACAGAAGCAUUCUGACAAACUUCUUUGUGAUGUGUGCAUUCAUCUCACAGAGUUGAACCUUACUUUUCAUUGAGCAGCUUUGAAACACUCUUUCUGUAGAAUCUGGAAGUGGACAUUUGCAGCACUUUGAGGCCUAUGGUGGAAAAGAAAAUAUCUUCACAUCAAAACAAGACAGAAGCUUUUUGAAAAACUUCUUUGUGACAUGUGCAUUCAUCUCAGAGAGUUGAACCUUUCCUUUGUUUGAGCAGCUUUGAAACAAUCUUUUUGUAGAAUCUGCAAGUGAACCAUUCGAGCGUCUUGGGGUCUAUGGUGGAAAAUGAAACAUCUUCACAUAAAAACUAGACAGAAAAAUUCUGAGAAUCUUCUUUGUGAUGUGUGCAUUCACCUCACAGAAUUGAACGUUACUUUUCAUUGAGCAGUCUUGCAUCUCUCUUUUUGUAGAAUCUGCAAGUGGACAUUUGGAGCGCCUUGAGGUCUCUGGUGGAAAAGGAAAGAUCUUCACAUGAAAACUAGACAGAAGCAUUCUCACAAACUUCCUUGUGAUGUGUGCAUUCAUCUCCCAGACUUGAAACUUUCUUUUGAUUGAGCAGCUUUGAAACACGCUUUUUGUAGAAUCUGCAAGUGGACAUUUGGAGCACUUUGAGGCCUAUGGUGGAAAAGGGAAUAUUUUCACAUAAAAAUUAGACAGAUGCAUCCUGACAAGCUUCUUUGUGAUGUGUGCAUUCAUCUCACAGAGUUGUAACUUUCUUUUGAUUGAGCAGCUUUGAAACACUCUUUUUGUAGAAUCUGCAAGUGGACAUUGGAGCACUUUGAGGCCUAUUAUGGAAAAUUAAAUAUCUUCACAUAAAAUCUAGACAGAAGCAUUAUGACAAACUUAUUUGUGAUGUGUGUGUUCAUCUCAUAGAGUUGAACCUUUCUUUUGAUUGAGCAGUUUGGAAACACUCUUUUUGUAGAAUCUGCAAGUGGACAUUUUGAGCACUUUGAGGCCAAUGUGGAAAAGGUAAUAUCUUCAUAUAAAAACUAGAUAGAAGCAUUCUGAGAAACUUCUUUGUGAUGUGUGCAUUCACCUCCCAGAGUUGAAUCUUUCCUUUGAAGGACCAGUUUUGAAAUACUCUUUUUGAAGAAUCUGCAAGUGGACAUUUAAAGCGCUUUGUGUGCUAUGGUAGAAUAGGAAAUAUCCUCACAUAAAAUCUAGACAGAAGGAAUCUGAGAAACUUCUUUGUGAUGUGUGCAUUUAUCUCACCAUGUUAAACCUUUCUUUGGAUUGAGCAGUUUUGAAACUCUCAUUUGUAGAAGCUGCAAGUAGACCUUUGGAGCGGUUUGAGGCCUAUCCUGGAAAAGAGAAUAUCUUAACAUAAUAACUAGACAGAAGAAUUCUGAGAAACUUCUUUGUGAUUUAUGCGGUCAUCUCACAGAGUCGAAACUUUCUUUUAUUUAGCAUUUUGGAAACAAUCUUUUUGAUGAUUCUGCUAGCGGACCUUUGGAGCGCUUUGCAGCCUAUGGCAGUAAAGAAAAUAUCUUCACAUAAAAUCUAGACAGAAGGAAUUUGAGAAACUUUUUGUGAUGUGUCUAUUCAUCUCACAGAGUUAAACCUUUCUUCUGAUUGUGCAGUUUUGAAACUCUGUUUUUGUAGAAAACGCAAGUUGACAUUUUUAGCACUUUGAGGCCUAUGGUGUAAAAGGAAAUAUCUUCACAUAAAAACUAGACAGAAGAUUUCUGAGAAACAUCAUUGUGAUGUGUGCGUUCAUCUCACAGUGUUGAACCUUUCUUUUGAUUGAACAGUUUUGAAACACUGUUUUUGUAUAAUCUGCAAUUGGACAUUUGGAGCGCUUUGCUGUCUAAGGUAGAAAAGGAAAUAUCUUCAUAUAGCAUCUAGACUGAAGCAGUCUGAAAAACUUCUUUGUGAUGUGUGCAUUCAUCUCACAGAGUUAACUUUUUCUUUUCACUGAGCAAUUCUGAAAAUCUCUUUUUGUAGAAUCUGCAAGUGGACUUUUGGGGCGCUUUGAGGCCUAUGGUGGAAAUAGAAAUAUCUUCACAUAAGAACUAGACAGAAGCAUUCCGAGAUGUUUCUUUGUGAAGUGUGAAUUCAUCUCACAGAGUUGAAUUUUACUUUCAAUUGAGCAGUUUUGAAACACUCUUUUUGCAGAAUCUGCAAGUGGACAUCUGGAGUGCUUUGAGGUCUAUGGUGGAUAACGAAAUAUCUUCACAUAAUAACUAGACAGAAGCAUUCUCAGAAACUUCUUUGUGAUGUGUGCAUUCAACUCACAGAGUUGAACCUUUCUGUUGUUGGAGUAGCUUUGAAACACUCCUUUCAUAAAAUCUGCAAGUGGACAUUGGGAGCGCUUUGAGGCCUCUGGUGGAAAAGAAAACAUCUUCACAUAAAAACUAAACAGAAGCAUUCUGUCAAAUUUCUUUGUGAUCUGUGCAUUCAUCUCACAGAGCUGAGCCUUUCUUUUCAUUGAGCAGUUUGGAAAUGCUCUUUUUGUACAAUGUGCUUGUGGACAUUUGGAGCACUUUUAGGACUAUGGUGGAAAAGGAGAUAUCUUCAGAUAAAAACUAGACCAAAGCAUUCUGACAACCUUCUUUGUGAUAUGUGUAUUCAUCUCACACAGUUGAAACUUACUUUUGAUUGGGCAGUUUUGAAACAUCCUUUUUGUGGAAUCUGCAGGAGGAUAUUUGGAGGGCUUUGAUGCCUAUUGUGGGGCCUAUUGUGGAAUAGGAAAUAUCUUCACAUUAAAACUAGAUAGAAACAUUCUGAGAAUCUUCUUUGUUAUGUGUGCAUUAAUCUCAGAGAGUUGAACCUUUCUUUGAUUGAGCAGUUUUGGAACACUCUUUUUGUACAAUCUGCAAGUGGAUGUUUGGAGCGCUUUCAGGACUAUUGUGGAAAAGGAAAUAUCUUCAAAUAAAAACUAAACAGAAGCAUUCUGAGAAACUUGCUUGAGAUGUGUUCAUUCAUCUCACAGAGGUGAACAUUUCUUUUGAUUGAGCUGUUGGAAACACUCUUUUUGUAGAAUCUGCAAGUGGACAUUUGGAGUGCUUUGUAGCCUAUGGUAGAAAAGGUAACAUCUUCACAUAAAAUAUAGACAGAAGCAAUCUGAGAAAUUUUUUGCGAUGUGUGCACUCAGCUCAGAGAGAUAAACCUUUCUUUUGAUUAAGCAGUUUUGAAACUGUCUUUUUGUAGAAUCUGCAAGUGCACAUUUGGAGCGCUUUCAGGCCUAUUUUGGAAAAGGAAAUAUCUUCGCAUAAAAACUAGACAGAAGAAUUCUAAGAAACUUCUUUGUGAUGUGUGCGUUCAUCUCAGAGAGUUGAACCUUUCUUUUGAUUGAGCAGUUUGGAAACACUCUUUUUGUACAACCUGCAAGUGGACAUUUGGAGGGCUUUGCAGCCUAUGGUAGGAAAGGAAAUAUCUUCACAUAAAAUCUAGACAGAAGCAAUCUGAGAAACUUCUUUGUGGUGUGUGCAUAUAUCUCAGAGUUAAACCAUUCUUUUUAUUGAGCAGUUUUGAAACUCUCUUUUUGUAGAAUCUGCAAGUGGACAUUUGGAGCGAUUUGAGGCCUAUGGUGGAAAAGGUAAUAUCUUCACAUAAAAACUACACAGAAGAAUUCUGAGAAACUUCUUUGUGAUGUGUGUGUUCCUCCCACAGAGUUGAACCUUUCUUUUGAUUGAGCAACUUGGAAAUACUCUUUUUGUAGAAUCUGCAAGUGGACAUUUAGAGCAUUUUGCGGCCUAUGGUGGAAGAAUAAGUAUCUUCACAUAAGAACUAGACAGAAGAAUUUUGAGAAACGUCUUUCUCAUGUGCUCAUUCAUCUCACAGAGUUGAACCUUUCUUCUUAUUGAGCAGUUUGGAAACACUCUUUUUGUAGAAUCUGCAAGUGGACAUUUGGAGCGAUUUGCUGCCUAUGGUAGAAAAGGAAAUAUCUUCAUAUAAAAUCUCGAUAGAACUAAUCUGAGAAACUUCUUUACGAUGUGGGCAUUCAUCUCACAGAGUAAAACCUUUCUUUUGAUUUAGGAGUUUUGAAACUCUCUUUUUGUAGCAUCUGCAAGUGGACAUUUGGAGCGCUUUGAGACCUGUGAUGGAAAAGGAAAUAUCUUCACAUAAAAACUACACUGAAGAAUUCUGUGAAACUUCUUUGUGAUGUGAGCGUUCGUCUCUCAGAGUUGAAACUUUCUUUUCAUUGAGAAGUUUGGAAACACUCUUUUUGGAGUAUCUGAAAGUGGACAUUUUGUGUGCUUUGCGGCCUAUGGUAGAAAAGUAAAUAUCUUCAUAUAAAAUCUAGACAGAAGCAAUCUGAGAAACAUUUCUGUUAUGUGUGCAUUCAUCUCACAGAGUUAAACCUUUUUUUGAUUGAGCAGUUUUGAAACUCUCUUUUUCAAGAAUCUGCAAGUGGACAUUUGGAGUGCAUAGAGGCCUAUGGUGGAAAAGGAAAUAACUUCACAUAAAAACUAGACAGAAGAAUGCUCAGAAACUUUGUGAUGUGUGUGUUCAUCUCACAGAGUUGAAUCAUUCUUUUAAUUGAGCAGUUUGGAAACACUCGUUUUGUAGAAUCUGCAAGUGGACAUUUGGAACGCUUUGCAGCCUAUGGUAGAAAAAGAAAUAUCUUCACAUAAAAUCUAGAAAGAAGCAAUCUGAGAAACUACUUUUGUGAUGUGCGCAUUCAUCUCACAGAGUUAAACCUCUCUUCUGAUUCAACAGUUUUGAAACUCUCUUUUUCUAGAAUCUGAAAGUGGACAUUUGGGGCACUUUGAGACCUGUAGUGGAAGAGGAAAUAUCUUCACAUAAAAACUAGACAGAAGAAUUCUGAGAAACCUCUUUGUGAUGUGUGCAUUCAUCUCACAGAGUUGAACCUUUCUUUUGAUUGAGCAGUUGGAAGCACUCUUUUUGUGGAGUCUGCAGGUGGAUAUUUGGAGGGCUUCGAGGCCUGUUGUGGGGCCUAUUGGGGAAUAGAAAAUAUCUUCACAUUAAAGCUAGACAGAAGAAUUCUGAGAAAUUUCUUUGUGAUGUGUGCAUUAAUCUCACAGAGUUGAACCUUUCUUUUGAUGAGCAGUUUUGAAACACUCUUUUUGUAGAAUCUGCAAUUGGAUGUUUGGAGCGCUUUCAGGAUUAUUGUGGAAAAGGAAAUAUGUUCAAAUAAAAACUAGACAGAAGCAUUCUGAGAAAUUGUUUGUGAUGUGUUCAUUCAUCUCACAGAGUUGAACUUUUCUUUUGAUUGAGCUGUUGGAAACACUCUUUUUCAAGAAUCUGCAAGUGGACAUUUGGAGCGCUUUGUGGCUUAUGGUAGAAAAGGAAACAUCUUCACAUAAAAUCUAGACAGAAGCAAUCUGAUAAAUUUUUUGUUAUAUGUGCAUUCAUCUCAAAGAGGAAACCUUUCUUUUCAUUGAUCAGUUUUGAAACUCUCUUUUUAUAGAAUCUACAAAUGCACAUUUUUAGUGCUUUGAGGCCUACGGUGGAAAAGGAAAUAUUUUCACAUAAAAACUAGACAGAAGAACUCUGAGAAACUUCUUUGGAAUGUGCAGGUUCAUCUCACAGAGUUGAAUCUUUCUUUUGAUUGAGCAGUUUGGAAACACUCUUAGUAGAAUCUGCAGUUGGACAUUUGGAGCACUUUGCGGUCAAUGGUAGAAAAGGAAAUAACUUCACAUAAAAGCUCAAGAGAAGCAACCUGAGAACUUCUUUGUGAUAUGUGCAUUCGUCUCACAGAGUGAAAUCUUUCUUUUGAGUAGUUUUGAAAUUCUCUUUGUAGAAUCUGCAAGUGGACAUUUGGAGCACUUUGAGGCCAAUGGUGGGAAAGGUAAUUUCUUCCCAUAAAAACUAGACAGAAGAAUUCUGUGAAACUUUUUGUGAUGUGUGCAUUCAUCUCACAGAAUUGAACCUUUCUUUUGAUUUAGCAGUUUGGAAACACUCUUUUUGUAAAAUCUGCAAGUGGACAUUUGGAGCAUUUUGGGGCCUAUGGUAGAAAAGGAAAUAGCUCUACAUAAAAAAUAGACAGAAGCAAUCUGAGAAACUUCUUUGUGAUGUAUGCAUUCAUCUCACAGAGUUAAAAGUUUCUUUUGAUUGGCAGUUUUGAAACGCUUCCUUUGUAGAUUCUGCAAGUUUACAUUUGGAGCGCUUUGAGGCCUAUGGUGGAAAAGGAAAUAUCUUCACAUAGAAACUAGAAAGAAGAAUUCUGAGAAACUUCUUUGUGAUGUGUGCAUUCAUCUCACAGAGUUGAACCUUUCUUUUGAUUGAGCAGUUUGGAAACACUCUUUUUGUAGAAUCUGCAAGUGGACAUUUGGAGCGCUUUGCGGCCUAAGGUAGAAAAGGAAAUAUCUUCACAUAAAAUCUAGACAAAAGCAAUCUGAGAAACUUCUAUCUUAUAUGUGCAUUCAUCUCACAGCGUUAAAUCUUUCUUUUGAUUGAGCAGUUUUGAAACUCUUUUUUUGUAGGAUCUGGAAGUGGACAUUUGGAGCAGUUUGAGGCCUGUGGUGGAAAAGGCAAUAUCUUCACAUAAAAACUAGACAGAAGAAUUCUGAACAACAUCUUUGUGAUGUGUGCAUUCAUCUCAUAGUUGAAACUUUCUUUGAGCAGUUUGGAAAUACUCCUUUUGUAGAAUCUGUCAGUGGACAUUUGGAGCGCUUUGAAGCCUAUGGUAGAGAACAAAAUAUCUUCACAUAAUAUCUAGACAGAAGCAAUCUCAGAAACUUCUUUAUGAUAUGUGCAUUCACCUCACUGUAUUAAACCUUUCUUUUGAUAGAGGAGUUUUGAAACUCUCUUGUUGUAGAAUCUGCAAGUGGACAUUUGGAUCAAUUUGUGGCCUAUGGUGAAAAAGUUAAUAUCUUCACAUGAAAACUAGACAGAAGAAUUCUGACAAACUUCUUUGUGAUGUGUGCAUUCAUCUCACACAGUUGAACCUUUCUUUUGAUUAAGCAGUUUGGAAACACUCUUUUUGUAGAAUCUGCAAGAGGACAUUUGGAGUACUGUACAUUCAUCUCACAGAGGUAAAACUUUCUUUGGAUUGAACAGUUUUGAAACACUCCUUUUGGAGUAUCCGCAAGUGGACAUUUGGAGCGUUCUGAGGUCUAUGUUGGACAACGAAAUAUCUUCACUUAAAAACUAGACAGAAGAUUUCUGAGAAACUUCUUUGUGAUGCAUGUGCUCAUCUCACAGAGUUGAAUCUUUCUUUGGAUUGAGCAGUUUGGAAACACACUUUUUGUACAAUCUACAAGUGGAAAUUGGAGCUCUUUGUGGCCUACAGUAGAAAAGGAAAUAUCUUCAAAUAAUAUCUAGACAGAAGCAGUCUGAGAAAUUUCUUUGUGAUGUGUGCAUUCAUCUCACAGAGUUAAACGUUUCUUUUGAUAGAGCAGUGUUGAAGCUCUCUUUUUGUAUAAUCUACAAGUGGACAUUUGUAGCGCUUUGAGACCUAUGGUAAAAAAGGAAAUAUCUUCAUAUAAAAACUAGACAGAAGAAUUCUGAGAAACGUCCUUGUGAUGUGUGCAUUCAUCUCACAGAGUUGAACCUUUCUUUCGAUUCAGCAGUCUGGAAACACUCUUUUUGUAGAAUAUGCAAGUGGAGAUUUGCAGCGCUUUGCAACCAAUGGAAGAAAAGCAAAUAUCUUCACAUAAAAUCUAGACAGAAGCAAUCUGAGAAACUUCUUUGUGAUGUGUGCAUUCAUCUCACAGUGUUAACUCUUUCUCUUGAUUGAGCAGUUUUGAGACUCUCUUUUUGUAGAGUCUACAAGUGGACAUUUGUAGUGCUUUGAGGCCUAUGGUGGAAAUGGAAUUAUCUUCAAAUAAAAACUAGAUGGAAGCAUUCUGAGAAACUUCUUUGUGAUGUGUGCAUUCAUCUCCCAGAGUUGAAUAUUUCUUUUGAUGGAGCAGCCUUGAAAUACUCCUUUUGUAGUAUCUGCAAGUGGACAUUUUGAGUACUUUGAGGCCUAUGGUGGAAAAUGAAAUAUCUUCACAUAAAAAUUAGACAGAAGAAUUCUGAGAAACUUCUUUGUGAUGGGUGCCUUCUUUGCACAGAGUUGAACGUCUCUUUUGAUUGACCGGGAUGGAAACACUGUUUUUGCAGAAUCUGCAAGUGGAAAUUUGGUGUGCUUUGCUUCCUAUGGUAGAAAAGGAAAUAUCUUCACAUAAAAACUAGACAGAAGAAUUCUGAGAAACUUCUUUGUCAUGUGUGCAUUUGUCUCUCAGAGUUUAACGUUUCUGUUCAUUGAGCAGUUUUGAAACUCUCUUUUUGUAGGAUCUGCAAGUGGACAUUUGGGGCGCUUUGACACCUAUGGUGGAAAAGGAAAUAUCUUCCCAUAAAAAACAGACAGAAGAAUUCUGAGAAAUUACUUUGUGAUGUGUGCACUCAACUGACAGAGUUAAACCUUUCUUUUGAUUGAGCAGUUUGGAAACACUCUUUUUUGUAGAAUCUGCAAGUGGACAUUUGGAGUGCUUAGUGGCCUAUGUUAGAAAAGGAAAUAUCUUCACAUAAAAUCUAGACAGAAGCAAUCUGAGAAACUUCUUUGUGAUGCGUGCAUUCAUCUCACAGAGUUCAACAUUUCUUUUGAUUGAGCAGUUUGGAAACACUCUUUUUGUAGAAUCUGCAAGUAGACAUUUGGAGAACUUUGCAGCCUCUGGUAGAAAAGGAAAUAUCUUCACAUAAAAUCUGGACAGAAGCAAUCUGAGAAGCUUCUUUGUGAUGUGUGCAUUCAUCUCAUAGAGUUAAAACUUUAUCUUGAUUGAGCAAUUUUGAAACUCUCUUUUUGUAGAAUCUGCUAGUGGACAUUUGGAGUGCUUUGAGUCUUAUGAUUAAAAAGGAAAUAUCAUCACACAAAAACUAGACUGAAGAAUUUGGAGAAACUUCUUUGUAAUGUGUGCAUUCAUCGCUCAGAGUUGAACCUUUCUUUUGAUUGAGCAGUUUGGAAACACUUUUUUUUUUAAUCUGCAAGUGGACAUUUAGAGCGCUUUGCAGCCUAUGGUAGAAAAGGAAAUAUCUUCACAUAACAUCUAGACAGAAGCAAUCUGAGAAACUUCUUUGUGAUGUGUGCAUUCUUCCCAUAGAGUUAAACCUUCAUUUUGAUUGAGGAGUUUUGAAACUCUCUUUUUGUAGAAUCUGCAAGUAGACAUUUGGAGCGCUUUGACGCCUACGGUGGAAAGGAAAUAUCUUCACAUAAAAACUAGACAGAAGAAUUCUGACAAACUUCUUUGUGAUGUGUGCUGUCAUCUCACAGAUUUGAAAAUUUCUUUUGAUUCAUCAGUUUGGAAACACUCUUUUUGUUGAAUCUACAAAUGGACAUCUGGAGCACUUUUUGUCCUAUGGAAGAAAAUGAAGUAUCUUCACAUAAAAUCUAGACAGAAACAAUCUGAGAAACUUCUCUGUGAUGUGUGCAUUCACCUCACAGAGAUAAACAUUUCUUUUUAUUGAGGAGUUUUGAAACUCUCUUUUUGUAGAAUCUGCAAGUGGACAUUUUUAAUGCUUUGAUGCCUAAGGUGGAAAAGGAAAUAUCUUCAUAUAAAAAGUAGACAGAAGAAUUCUGAGAAACUUCUUUGUGAUAUGUGCUUUCAUCUCACAGAGUUCAACUUUUCUUUUCAUUGAGCAGUUUGGAAACACUCUUUUUGUGGAAACUGCAAGUGGACAUUUUGUGUGCUUUGAGGCCUACAGUAGAAAAGGAAAUACCUUCACAUACAAUCUAGACAGAAGCAAUCUGAGAAACUUCUUUGUGAUGUGUGUAUUCAUCUCACACAGUUAAGCCUUUCUUCUGAUAGAGAAGUUUUGAAACUCUCUUUUUGUAGAAUCUGCAAGUGGACAUUUUUAGCGCUUUGACGUCUAUGGUCGAAAAGGAAAUAUCGUCACAUAAAAAGUAGACAAAAGAAUUCUGAGAAAUUUCUUUGUGAUGUGUGCAGUCAUCUCACAGAGUUAAACCUUUCUUCUGAUUGAGCAGUUUUGAAACUCUUUUUGUAGAAUCUGCAAGCGGACAUUUUUAGCACUUUGAGGCCUAUGGUGGAAAGGAAAUAACUUCACAUAAAAACUAGACGGAAGCAUUCUGAGAAACGUCUUUGGAUGUGUGCCUUCAUCUCCCAGAGUUAAACGUUUCUUUUGAUUGAGCAGUUUUGAACCUCUCUUUUUCUAGAAACUGCAAAUGGACAUUUGGAGUGCUUAGAGGUCUAAUGUGGAAAAGGAAAUAUCUUCACAUAAAAACUAGACAGAAGAAUUCUGAGAAACUUCUUUGUGAUGUAUGUGUUCAUCUCACAGAUUUGAAACUUUCUUUUGAUUGAGCAGUUUGGAGACACUCUUUUUGUAGAAUCUGCAAGUGGACAUUUCGAGUGCUUUGUGGCCUGUGGUAGAAAACGAAAUAUCUUCACAUAAAAUCUAGACAGAAGCAAUCUGAGAAACUUCUUUGUGAUGUGUGCAUUCAUCUCCCAGAGUUGAACCUUUCUUUUGUUGGACCAGCUUUAAAAUACUCUUUUUGUAGAAUCUGCAAGUGGACAUUUCGAGCGUCUUGAGUCUAUGGUGGAAAAUGAAAUAUCUUCACAUAAAAACUAGACAGAAGCAUUCUGAGAAACUUGUUUGUGAUGUGUUUGUUCAUCUCACAGAUUUGAACCUUUCCUUUGAUUGAGCAGUUUAGAAACACUCUAUUUGUAGAAUCUGCAAGUGGAUAUUUGGAGCACGUUGUGGCCUACGGUAGAAAGGGAAAUAUCUUCACAUAAAAUCUACACAGAAGCAAUCUGAGAAACUUCUUUGGGAUGUGUGCAUUCAUCUCACAGAGUUAAACCUUCCUUUUGAUUGAGGAGUUUUGAAACUCUCCUUUUUUAGAAUCUGCAAGUGGACAUUUGGAGCACUUUGAGGCCUAAGGUGGAAAGGAAAUAUCUGCACAUAAAAACUAGACAGAAGAAUUUUGACAAAAUUCUUUGUGAUGUGUGCUUUCAUCUCACAGAUUUGAAAAUUUCUUUUGAUUCAACAGUUUGGAAACACUCUUUUUGUAGAAUCUGCAAGUUGACAUUUGGAGCACUUUGCAGCCUAUGGAAGAAAAGUAAAUAUCUUCACAUAAAAUCUAGACAGAAACAAUCUGAGAAACUUCUCUGUGACGUGUGCAUUCAUCUCACAGAGUUAAACAUUUCUUUUGAUUGAGGAGUUUUGAAACUCUCUUUUUGCAGAAUCUGCAAGUGGACAUUUGGAGCCCUUUGAGGCCUAUGGUGGAAAAGGAAAUAUCUUCACAUAAAAACUAGACAGAAGAAUUCUGAGAAACUUCUUUGUGAUAUGUGUGUUCAUCUCACAGAGUUGAACUUUUCUUUUGAUUGAGCAGUUUGGAAACACUCUUUUUGUACAAACUGCAAGUGUACAUUUGGGGCGCUCUGUGGCCUACAGUAGAAAAGGAAAUACCUUCACAUAAAAUCUAGACAGAAGCAAUCUGAGAAAAUUCUUUGUGAUGUGUGCAUUCAACUCACAGAGUUAAACCUUACUUUUUAUUGAGCAGUUCUGAAACUCUUUCUGUAGAAUCUUCAAGCGGACAUUUGGAGUGGUUUGAGGCCUAUGGUGGAAAAGUAAAUAUCUUCACACUAAAACUGGACAGAAGAAUUCUGAGAAACUUCUUUGUGAUGUGUGUGUUCGUCUCACAGAGUUAAGCCUUUCUUUUGACUGAGCUGUUUGGAAACACUCUUUUUGUAGAAUCUGCAAGUAGACAUUUGGAGCACUUUGGGGCCUAUGGUAGAAAGGGAAAUAUCUUCCCAUCAAAUCUAGAGAGAAGCAAUCUGAGAAACUUCUUUAUGAUGUGUGCAUUCAUCUCAUAGAGUUAAACCUUUCUUUUGAUUGAGCAGUUUUGAACCUCUCUUUUUGUAGAAUCUGCAAGUGGACAUUUGGAGCGCUUUGAGGCUUAUGGUGGAAAGGGAAAUAUCUUCACAUAAAAAUUGGACAGAAGAAUUCUGAGAAACUUCUUUGUGAUGUGUGCAUUCAUCUCACAGAGUUAAACUUUUCUUUUUAUUGAGCAGUUUGGAAAGCCUCUGUUUGUAGAAUCUGCAAGUGGGUAUUUGGAACGCUUUGCAGCCUAUGGUAGAAAAGGAAAUAUCUUCACAUAAAAUCUAGAAAGAAGCAAUCUGUGAAACUUCCUUGUGAUGUGUACAUUCAUCUCACAGAGUUAAGCCUUUCUUUUGACUGAGCAGUUUUGAAACUCUCUUUUUGUAGUAUCUGCAAGUGGACAAUUUGAGCACUUUGAGGCCUCAGCUGGAAAAGGAAAUAUCUUCAUGUAAAACUAGACAGAAGAAUUCUGAGAAACUUCACUGUGAUAUGUGCAUUCAUCUCACAGAGUUGAACCUUUCUUUUUAUUAAGCAGUUUGGAAACACUCUUUUUGUAGAAUCUGCAAAUGGACAUUUGGAGCGCCUUCAGGCCUAUGGUGGAAAGGAAAUAUCUUUACUUAAAAACUAGACAGGAGAAUUCUGAGAAAAUUCUUUGUGAUGUGUGCAUUCAUCUCACAGACUUGAGCCUUUCUUUUGAUUGAGCAGUUUGAAAACACUCUUUUUGUAAAAUCUGCAAGUGGACAUUUGGAGUGCUUUGCAGCCUUUGGUAGAAAAGGAAAUAUCUUCACAUAAAAUCUAGACAGAAGCAAUCUGAGAAACUUCUUUGUGAUGCGUGCAUUCAUCUCACAGAGUUCAACAUUUCUUUUGAUUGAGCAGUUUGGAAACACUCUUUUUGUAGAAUCUGCAAGUAGACAUUUGGAGCACUUUGUGGCCUGUGGUAGAAAAGGAAAUAUCUUCACAUAAAAUCUGCACAGAAGCAACCUGAGAAACUUCUUUGUGAUGUGUGCAUUCAUCUAAUAGAGUUAAAACUUUCUCUUGAUUGAGCAGUUUUGAAACUCUCUUUUUGUAGAGUCUGCUAAUGGACAUUUGGAGUGCUUUGAGUCUUAUGAUUAAAAAGGAAAUAUCAUCACAUAAAAACUAGACUAAAGAAAUUGGAGAAACUUUUUUUGUGAUGCGUGCAUUCAUCGAUCACAGUUGAACCUUUCUUUUGAUUGAGCAGUUUGGAAACACUCUUUUUUUAGUAUUUGCAAGUGGAAAUUUAGAGCGCUUUGCAGCCUAUAGUAGAAAGGAAAUAUCUUCACAUAACAUCUAGACAGAAGCAAUCUGAGAAACUUCUUUGUGAUGUGUGCAUUCAUCUCACAGAGUUAAACUUUCCUUUUGAUUGAGGAGUUUUGAAACUCUCCUUUUUUAGAAUCUGCAAGUGGACAUUUGGAGCGCUUUGAGGCCUAAGGUGGAAAGGAAAUAUCUGCACAUAAAAACUAGACAGAAGAAUUCUGACAAACUUCUUUGUGAUGUGUGCUUUCAUCUCACAGAUUUGAAAAUUUCUUUUGAUUCAACAGUUUGGAAACACUCUUUUUGUAGAAUCUGCAAGUUGACAGUUGGAGCACUUUGCAGCCUGUGGAAGAAAAGGAAAUAUCUUCACAUAAAGUCUAGACAGAAACAAUCUGAGAAACUUCUCUCUGACAUGUGCAUUCAUCUCACAGAGUUAAACAUUUCUUUUGAUUGAGGAGUUUUGAAACUCUCUUUUUGCAGAAUCUGCAAGUGGACAGUUGGAGCCCUUUGAGGCCUAUGGUGGAAAAGGAAAUAUCUUCACAUAAAAACUAGACAGAAGAAUUAUGAGAAACUUCUUUGUGAUACGUGUGUUCAUCUCACAGAGUUGAACUUUUCUUUUGAUUGAGCAGUUUGGAAACACUCUUUUUGUACAACCUGCAAGUGUACAUUUGGUGCACUCUGUGGCCUACAGUAGAAAAGGAAAUACCUUCACAUAAAACCUAGACAGAAGCAAUCUGAGAAACUUCUUUGUGAUAUGUGUAUUCAACUCACAGAGUUAAACCUUUCUUUUGAUUGAGCAGUUCUGAAACUCUUUCUGUAGAAUCUUCAAGUGGACAUUUGGAGCGGUUUGAGGCCUAUGGUGGAAAAGUAAAUAUCUUCACAUAAAAACUGGACAGAAGAAUUCUGAGAAACUUCUUUGUGAUAUGUGAAUUCGUCUCACAGAGUUGAGCCUUUCUUUUGAUUGAGCAGUUUGGAAUCACUCUUUUUGUAGAAUCUGCAAGUGGACAUUUGGAGUGCUUUGCGGCCUGUUGUAGAAAGGGAAAUAUCUUCAUAUCACAUCUAGACAGAAGCAAUCUGAGAAACUUCUUUAUGAUGUGUGCAUUCAUCUCAUAGAGUUAAACCUUUCUUUUGAUUGAGCAGUUUUGAAACUCUCUUUUUGUAGAAACUGCAAGUGGACAUUUGGAGCGCUUUGAGGCCUAUGGUGGAAAAGGAAAUAUCUUCACAUAAAAACUAGACAGAAGAAUUCUGAGAAACUUCUUUGUGAUUUGUGCAUUCAUCUCACAGAGUUAAACUUUUCUUUUUAUUGAGCAGUUUGGAAAGCCUCUGUUUGUAGAAUCUGCAAGUGGAUAUUUGGAACGCUUUGCAGCCUAUAGUAGAAAAGGAAAUAUCUUCACAUAAAAUCUAGAAAGAAGCAAUCUGUGAAACUUCUUUGUGAUGUGUGCAUUCAUCUCACAGAGUUAAGCCUUUCUUUUGACUGACCAGUUUUGAAACUCUCUUUUUGUAGUAUCUGUAAGUGGACAAUCUGAACACUUGGAGGCCUCAGCUGGAAAAGGAAAUAUCUUCAUGUAAAACUAGACAGAAGAAUUCUGAGAAACUUCAUUGUGAUAUGUGCGUUCAUCUCACAGAGUUGAAGCUUUCUUUUUAUUAAGCAGAUUGGAAACACGCUUUUUGUAGAAUCUGCAACUGGACAGUUAGAGCGAUUUGUGGCCUACUGUAGAAAAGGAAACAUCUUCACAUAAAAUCCAGACAGAAGCAAUCUGAAAAACUUCUUUGUGAUGUGUGCAUUCAUCUCACAGAGUUAACCCUUCCUUUUGAUUGAGGCGUUUUGAAACUCUCUUUUUGUGGAAUCUGCAAGUGGACAUUUGGAGCGUCUUCAGGCCUAUGGUGGAAAGGAAAUAUCUUCACUUAAAAACUAGACAGAAGAAUUCUGAGAAAAUUCUUUGUGAUGUGUGCAUUCAUCUCACAGACUUGAGCCUUUCUUUUGAUUGAGCAGUUUGAAAACACUCUUUUUGUAAAAUCUGCAAGUGGACAUUUGGAGUGCUUUGCAGCCUUUGCUAGAAAAGGAAAUAUCUUCACAUAGAAUCUAGACAGAAGCAAUCUGAGAAACUUCUUUGUGAUGCAUGCAUUCGUCUCACAGAGUUCAACAUUUCUUUUGAUUGAGCAAUUUGGAAACACUCUUUUUGUAGAAUCUGCAGGUAGAUAUUUGGAGCACGUUGCGGCCUGUGGUAGAAAAGGAAAUAUCUUCACAUAAAAUCUGCACAGAAGCAACCUGAGAAACUUCUUUGUGAUGUGUGCAUUCAUCUAAUAGAGUUAAAACUUCAUCUUGAUUGAGCAGUUUUGAAACUCUCUUUUUGUAGAAUGUGGUAGUGGACAUUUGGAGUGCUUUGAGUCUUAUGAUUAAAAAGGAAAUAUCAUCACACAAAAACUAGACUGAAGAAUUUGGAGAAACUUUUUUUGUGAUGCGUGCAUUCAUUGAUCAGAGUUGAACAUGACUUUUGAUUGAGCAGUUUGGAAACACUCUUUUUGUUGAAUCUACAAGUGGACAUUUGGAGCGCUUUGCAGCCUACGGUAGAAAAGGAAAUAUCUUCACAUAAAAUCUAGACAGAAACAAUCUGAGAAACUUCCCUGUGAUGUGUGCAUUCAUCUCACAGAGUUCAACUUUUCUUUUGAUUGAGCAGUUUGGAAACACUCUUUUUGUAGAAACUGCAAGUGGACAUUUGGUGCACUUUGAGGCCUACGGUAGAAAAGGAUAUAUCUUCAUAUAAAAUGUAGACAGAAGCAAUCUGAGAAACUUCUUUGCAAUGUGUGCAUUCAUCUCACAGAGUUAAACCUUUCUUUUGAUUGAACAGCUUUGAAACUCUUUUUGUACAAUCUACAAGAGUACAUUUGGAACGCUUCGAGGCCUAUGGUGGAAAAGGAAAUAUCUUCACAUAAAAACUAGACAGAAAAAUUCUGAGAAAUUUCUUUGUGAUGUGUGAACUCAUGUCACAGAGUUAAACCUUUCUUUUGAUUGAGCAGUUUCAAAACUCUUUUUGUAGAAUCUGCAAGUGGACAUUUUUAGCGCUUUGAGGCCUAUGGUGGAAAGGAAAUAUCUUCACAUAAAAACUGGACAGAAGAAUUCUGAGAAAGUUCUUUGUGAUGUGUGCGUUUGUCUCACAGAGUUGAACCUUUCUUUCAAUUGAGCAGUGUGGAAACACUGUUUUUGUAGAACCUGCAAAUGGACAUUUGGAGUGCUUUGUGGCCUAUGGUAGAAAAGGAAUUAUCUUCACAUAAAAUCUAGACAGAAGCUAUCUGAGAAACUUCUUUGUGACUUGUGCAUUCAUCUCGUGGAGUUAAACCUUUCUUUUGAUUGAGCAGUUUUGAAACUCUCUUUUUGCAGAAUCUGCAAGAGUACAUUUGGAACGCUUUGAGGCCUAUGGUGGAAAAUGAAAUAUCUUCACAUAAAAACUAGACAGAAUAAUUCUGAGAAACUUCUUUGUGAUGUGUGCAUUCAUCUCACAAUGUUAAACCUUUCUUUUGAUUGAGCAGUUUUGAAACUCUUUUUGUAGAAUCUGCACGUGGACAUUUUUAGCCUUUGAGGCCUAUGGUGGCAAGGAAAUAUCUUCAGAUAAAAACUGGACAGAAGCAAUCUGAGAAACUUCUUUGUUAUGUGUGCAUUCAUCUCACAGAGUUGAACCUUUCUUUUGAUUGAGCAGUUUGGAAACACUCUUUUUGUAGAAUCUGCAAGUGAACAUUUGAAGCGCUUUGCAGCCUAUGGUAGAAAAGGAAUUGUCUUCACAUAAAAUCUAGAGAGAAGCAAAACUUUCUUUUGAUUGAGUAGUUUUGAAACUCUCUUUUCGUAGAAACUGCAAGUGGACAUAUGGAGCGCUUUGAGGCCUAAGCUCUAAAAGGAAAUAACUUCCCAUAAAAACUAGACAGAAGAAUUCUGAGAAACUUCUUGUGAUGUGUGAGUUCAUCUCACAGAGUUGAACCUUUCUUUUAUUGAGCAGUUUGGAAACUCUCUUUUUGUGGAAUCUGCAAGUGGACACUUGGAGCGCUUUGCCGCCUGUGGUAGAAAAGGAAAUAUAUUCACAUAAAAUCUAGACAGAAGCAAUCUGAGAAACUUCUUUGUGAUGUGUGCAUUCAUCUCACAGAGUUAAACUUUUCUUUUGCUUGAGAAAUUUAGAAAGCUUCUGUUUGUAGAAUCUGCAAGUGGACAUUUAGAGCACUUUGCUGCCUAUGGUAGAAAAGGAAAUAUCUUCACAUAAAAUCUAGACUGAAGCAAUCUGAGAAAAUUCUUCGUGAUGUGUGCAUUCAUCUGACAGAGUUGAACCUUUCUUUUGAUUGAGCAGUUUGGAAACACUCUUUUAGUAGAAUCUGCAAGUGGAUAUUUGGGGCCCUUGGGGUCUGAAUGAUUGUCCCUCACAUAGGAUUGGUGAACACUGCUGCUGGGGUCUGAAUGUUUGUCCCUCACAUAGGAUCCCAGAACACUGCUGCUGGGGUCUAUAUGUAUGUCCGUCACGUGGGAUUCCAAAACACUGCUGCUGGGUUCUGACUGUUUCUCCCUCUCAUAGAAUUCCAUAGCACUGCGACGAGGUUCUGAAUGUUUGUCCGUAACAUAGGAUUCCAGAACCCCCCGCCUGUUGUUUAAAUGUUUGUCCCUCACAUUGGAUUCCAGAACACUGCUGCUGGAUUCUGAAUGUUUGUCACUCACAGAGGAUUCCAGAACACUGCUACUAUUGUCUGAAUGUUUGUCCCUCACAUAGGAUUCUAGAACCCUCCUAAGAGUGUGUGAAUGUUUGUUCCUCACAUAGAUUUCCAGAUCACUGCUACGAUUGUCUGAAUGUUUGUCCUACACUUAGGAUUCCAGAACACUGCUAUGACAGUCGAAUGAUUGUCCCUCACACAGAAUUCCAGAACACUGCUACGAGGGUCUGAAUGAUUGUCCCUCACAUAGGAUUCCAAAACACUGCUGCUGGGUUCUGACUGUUUUUCCCUGACAUAGAAUUCAAGAACACUGCGACGAGGUUCUGAAUGUUUGUCCGUAACAUAGGAUUCCAGAACGCCCCCUCCCCGUAGCUUAAAUGUUUGUCCCUCACAUUGGAUUCCAGAACACUGCUACGAUCGUCUGAAUGUUUGUCCUUCACAUAGGAUUCCAAAACAUUGCUACGGGGGUCUGAAUGUUUGUUCUUCACAUAGGAUUCCAGAACACUCCUGCUGUGUUCUGAAUGUUAGUUCCUCCUAUAGGAUUCACGAACACUGUCACGAGGUUCUGAAUGUUUGUUCCGCACAUAGGAAUCCAAAACACUCCUGCUGUGUUCCGAGUGUUUGUCCCUCACAUGGGAUUCCAGAACAAUCCUGCCGUGGUCUGAAUGUGAGUCCCUCACAUAGGUUUCUGGAACACUGCUGCUGGGUUCUGUGUGUUUCUCCCUCACGUAGAAUUCCAUAACACUGUGAAGAGAUUAUUAAUGGUUGUCCGUAACAUAGGAUUCCAGAACAAUCUCGGUGUUGUUUGAAUGUUUUUCCCUUACAUAGGUUUCCAGAACACUGCUACGUUUGUCUGAAUGUUUGUCCCUCACAUAGGAUUCCAGAACACUGCUGGGAGGGUCUGAAUGUUUUUCCCUCACAUGGGAUUCCAGAACACUGCUAUGAUUGUCUGAAUGUUUGUCCCUCACUUAGGAUUCCAGAACACAGCCACGAGGGUCUGAAUGAUUGUCCCUCACAUGGGAUUACAGAACAAUCCUGCUGUGUUCUGAAUGUUUGCCCCUCACAUAUAGUUACAGAACACUGCUGCUGGGUUCUGAGUGGUUGUCCAUCACAUGGGAUUCCAGAACACACCUAUGAGGGUCUGAUUGUUUUUCUCUUACAAAGGAUUACAGAACACUGCUGCUGGGGUCUAAAAGUUUCUCCAUCACACACUAUUCCAGAGCAUUGCUAUGAGGGUCUGAAUGUUUGUCCCUCAUUUAGAAUUCCACAACACUUCUGCUGGGGUGUGAAUGUUUGUCCCUCACACAAAAUUCCAGAACACUGCUAUGACGAUCUGAAUGACUGUCCCUCAUUUAGGAUUCCAAAACACUCCUGUUGUUUUCUGAGUGUUUGUCCCUCACCUAGGAUUCCAGAACUAUCCUCCUGUUGUCAGAAUGUUUGUCUCUCACAUAGGGUUUCAGAACACUGCUGCUGGGUUCUGAGUGUUUCUCCCUCACAUAGGAUUCCAGAACACUGCUACAAGGGUCUGAAUGUUUGACCCUCACAUAGGAUCCCAGAACACUGCUGCUAGGGUCUAGAUUUUUGUCCAUCACACCGGAUUCCAGAACCCUCCUAAGAGGGUCUGAAUGUCUGUUCCUCACAGGGAAUUCCAGAACACUCCUGCUGUGGUCUCAAUGUUUUUCCCUCACACAGUACUACAGAACACUGCUACAGGAGUCAGAAUGUUUGUCCCUCACGCAGAAUUCCAGAACACUGGCACGAGUGUCUGAAUGAUUGGCCCUCACAUAGGAUUCCAGAACACUGUCGCUGGGGUCGUAAUGUUUGUCCCUCACAUAGGAUUCCAGAACACUGCUUUUGGGUUCUGAGUGUUUCUCGCUCACAUAGAAUUCCAGAACACUGCGAUGAGGGUCUAGAAUGUUUGUCCAUAACAUAGGAUUCCUGAACAAUCCCGCUGUUGUUUGAAUGUUUGUCCCUCACAUAGGAUUACGGAACACUGCUACGAUUGUCUGAAUGUUUGUCCCUCACAUAGCAUUCCAGAACACUGCUACGACUGUCUGAACGUUUAUUCCUCACAGGGGAUUCCAGAACACUCCUGCUAUGGCCUGGAUGAUUGUCCCUCACAUAGGAUUCCAGAACACUGCUAUGAGGGUCUGAAAGUUUGUGCUUGACACAGAAUUCCAGAACACUGCUACGAGGGUCUGAAUGACUGUCCCUCACAUAGGAUUCCAAAACACUGCUGCUGGGGUCUACAUGUAUGUCCGUCACAUAGGAUUCCAGAACACUGCUAUUGGGUUCUGACUGUUUCUCCCUCACAUAGAAUUCCAGAACAUUGUGACGAGCGUCUGAAUGUUUGUCCGCAACAUAGGAUUCCAGAACACUCUCGCUCUUGUUUGUAUGUUUGUCCCUCACAUAGGAUUCCAGAACACUGCUAGGAGGGUCUGAAUGUUUUUCCCACAGUGGGGAUUCCAGAACUGUGUGGUCUGAAUGUUUGUCCUUCAUACAGGAUUCCCAAACACUGCUAUGAGGGAAUGAAUGUUUGUCCCUCACAAAGGAUUCCAGAAAAUUGCUACGAUUGUCUCAGUGUUUGCCCCCACAUAGGAUUCUGGAACACAGCUACGAGGGUUUGAUUGUUUGGCCCUCACGUAGGAUUCCAAAACAUUCCUAUGGUUUUCUGAGGGUUUCUCCCUCACAUAGGAUUGCAGAACAAUCCUGCCGUGUUCUGAAUGUUUGUCCCUCAUACAGAGUUCCAGAACACUGCUGCUUGGUUCUGAAUGUUUGUCCCUCACAUAGGAUUCCAGAACACUGCUUCGAGGGUCUGAAUGUUUGUUCCUCACAUAGGAUUCCAGAACAUUGCUGCUGGGGUCUAAAUGUUUGUCCCUCACAUAGGAUUCCAGAACACUGGUAUGGGGGUCUGAAUGUUGGAUCCUCACAGGGGAUUCCAGAAUACUCCUGCUGUGGUCUGAAUGUUUGUCAAUCACAUGGGAUUCCAGAACACUGCUACGAGGGUCUGAAUGUUUGUCCCUCACAUAGGAUACUAAAACACUCCUGCAGUAUUCUGAGAGUUCGUUCCUCACAUAGAAUUCCAGAGCAUACCUGCUUUGGCCUGAAUCUUUGUCCCUUACAUAAUUUUCCAGAACACCGCUGCUUGUUUCUGAGAGUUGGUCUCUCAGAUAGGAUACCAGAACACUGCUACGAGGGUCUCAAUGUUUGUCCCUCACAUUGCAUUCCAGAGCACUGCUGGCGUCUAAAUGUUUGUCCAUCACAUAGGAUUUCAGAACACUGUUAGGGGUCUGAAUGUCUGUUCCUCACAGGAGAUUCCAGAACACUCCUGCUGUGGUCUGAAUGAUUGUCCCUCACAUAGGAUUCCAGAACACUGCUAUGGGGGUCUGAAUGUUUAUCCCUCAUGAAGAAUUCCAGGACACUGCUACGACGAUCUGAAUGUUUGUCCCUCACAUAGGAUUCCAAAACACUCCUGCUGUUUUCUGAGUGUAUAUCCCUCACAUCGGAGUCCAGAACAAUCCUGCUGUUGUCUGAAUGUUUGUCCCUCACAUAGGGUUCCUGAAUGCUGCUGCUGGUUUCCGAGUGUUUGUCCUUCUCAUAGGAUUCCAGACAAUUCGACGAAGGUCUGAAUAUUUGUCCCUCACAUGGGAUUCCAGAACACUGCUGCUGGGGUCUACAUGUAUGUCCAUCAUAUAGGAUUCCAGAAAACUGCUGCUGGGUUCUGAGUGUUCCUCCCUCACGUACAAUUCCAGAACACUGCAAUGAGCGUCUGAAUGUUUGUCCAUAACAUAGGAUUCCAGAACACUCCCGCUGUUGAUUCAAUGUUUUUCCCUUACAUAGGAUUCCAGAAAACUGCUAGGAUUGUCUGAAUGUGUGUCCCUCACAUAGGAUUCCAGAACACUGCUACGAGGGUCUGAAUAUUUGUCCUUAACGUAGGAUUGCAGAACACUUGUGUUGGGGUCUGAAUGUUUGUCCCUCACAUAGGAUUCCAGAAAACUGCUACGAUUGUCUGAAUGUGUGUCCCUCACAUAGGAUUCCAGAACACUGCUACGAGGGUCUGCAUAUUUGUCCUUAAAGUAGGAUUGCAGAACACUGUUAUAAUUGUCGGAAAGUUUGUCCCUCACAUAGGAUUCCAGAACACUUCUACGAGGGUCUGAAUGUUUGUCCCUCACAUAGGAUUGCAAAACACUGAAGCUGUGUUCCGAGUGUUUGUCCCUCAUAUAGGGACCCAGAAAAAUGCUGCUGGGUUCUGAGUGUUUGUCCCUCACACAGGAUUCCAGAACACUGCUACUAGUGUCUGAAUGUUUGUCCCUCACAUAACACUCCAGAACACUGCUGCUGGGGUCUCAAUGUUUGUCAGUCACACAGGAUUCCAGAACACUGCUACGAUAGCCUGAAUGUUUGUUCUUCAGAGGGGAUUCCAGAAUACUCCUGCUGUGGUCUGAAUGCUUGUUCCUCACACAGGACUCCAGAACACUGCUACGAGGGUCUGAAUGAUUGUCUCUCACAUAGGAUUGCAAAAUAGUCCAGCUGUCUUCUGAGUGUUUGUCCAUCACAUAGGAUUCCAGAACACUCCUGCUGUGGUCUGAAAGUUUGUCCCUCACACAGAAU